AUGGUUAUGAUGGCAAAGGACAAAAAGCAAGGGUCAACAACUGAUCCUGGACUGCCACUGGCACCCCCUCAGAAAACAGGCCCAUGUCAUCCCUUGUGCAGUCAGUCCAUAUUGGAGUCCUCAAAUGUCAGACAUUCACAUGACCCUGUAUUGAGGGCAUCUAGCUGAUAAGGACUGACAGUAAGGUUGAUUGAACAACCAGAUUUCUCUCGAGGUAAAAGCAGCUUUCUGCCAACAGCAUCAGAUUUUGCAACUACAUUUGUAACCAUAAUCUGGGUCAUACAUGUAGAAACAUUUUUUGAUAACUUCUACCAAGAAGCUGACUCAGAACUGAAGAAGUAUUGGUGUAUGACUGACAGCCAUUCUCCGUAUUUCAAAGAAUUCAGUUCUUCUGAUGUCUUGAGAGGAAAGAAAAUGAAGUUUGAGGGAAGUCUGAAUCAUUGCAGCGAGGUUUUUGGUUUAGUUGAUUUUAACAAACUGUGAGGGACAAAAAAGUCCUCAGUCAACUUGAACUCCCUGUGCUUUGUAAUGAAACUGAUCAAUCAAUAUUGUGAAAUUUUCUUUAAACUGUGACAUUCAUCACUGUUUUCAAUUCAUUAGGGUUUUAUUAGCUGUUUUUCAGCAUAGGUUCAUUGGAAAAACAUGCCUCUACCUACAUUUUUGCAGAACUUAAAAAAUGUACACUGUAAAAAACAAGCCAGUAAAACAUCAACAACUUUAGUACAUUUCACAAAAAUUAUGAUUAUGGGGCAGAAUAUUAAUUAGUAAAGACUUAUUUUCACACAGUUACUUGCACAACUACUACAUUUUUACAUUUGCAUCACAUAACCAGCUCCAUAUGUAUGACUUUUCUGGACAAAGUAAACUUGCUCGGUAGCUCACCUGGUACAGCAUUGCUUUUACGAUGUUGAGCACUUGGUUCUGUGAAACAUGGCCAGAUUUAUGGUCAUCUGUUUUGAAUUAAUAUGAAUAUCUAUGAAAUGCCACUCACUGGAUAAUUUACUUUGAAAAUGUUGCCAUAUGUGCAACAUAGAAGAGGCAAUGUAAUAUAUUUGUGCAGACAUGUCAUUAAGUUUGAUGCUUUUACCCUAAUUAAGAUCCUAAAUCAUUUUUUAUUUUUUUAUUUUUUGAGAUUUUGACUUCUUAUGUCACUUUUUAGUGUGGUGAAACUAUAGCUACUUUAUUUUAAAGUGUAGCUUGAGUGGAAAAGCGUAGCUCAUGAGUAACUUCUGACAAGCAACAGAAUCUUCCCCAAACACUGGUUCAUGACAAAUCAAACUCAAGAGCUCAGCUUCAGACAUUGUACUGUGGAUGACAGAACAAGAAUUCCCGCUAGCCCUUCAAAUAACAUAAAGGUGUAUGCUAGAUGGAAUAUCAAAAUUGUCAUAAUUUAUUAUGCUCAGAUUUGAAAAGGGAAUAUACUGUAUAAUGUCACUGUUUCCAGGAGCCAAGCCUUGAAGGAUUUCCGCGGGGCAUGAUUUAAUAUUCAUAUCUCUGCUAAUAAA
ensembl:lncRNA